rnacentral:lncRNA from 1 species
CCGGUUUCGAGGCUCCUGGGGGCCUGGGCGAGUGCCAGCACUUAUUUGUGCAGGCUGAUUCGGAUUUACGUGUCUACGGUAGCCCACAAGGUUGUUGCAGAGCAGUCCUCCCAAAAAUAUCCAGUUAGGUGUCGUCCAACACAUCUUAACCAGAAGGGCAAGCAGCGUACUCACUGUUUCUUCCUGGCGCCCUACGACACAGCUGAGGAUCCAGAGUCUUGGCUCUCAUGGAGAUUUAGUGCGACGAAUAGGAAAAUAAAAAUGAAAGCGCAAGGCAAAUUCAAAUAGAGGUAUAAAGAAGUCUAAACAGGAUGCACGUGCUGUGUGGCUUUGUAAUGAUGCUAAACCUGUAGUUUGCUACGUUUUGGAGUUUGUGGUUUUUGUUUUGAGGUUUUUAAGAGCGGUUUCAGAUCCCAAAUGCGAGAAUUUGGAAUGAAUUCCCCCUUCUGAAGCAUUUUACCUCAAACUUUAGGUCCCCCAUACGUGAAUAACUGACCUCAGUUACCUGACUUCAAAACAACAUAAACUGAGGGAUCUGAGCCACUGACACUUUUAAGAGCUUAGGCUGUGGCAAGAUUAAUUCAUGUCUGCUUCUCUGAACACCCAGAGAUUAGACUGCAACAGAAUGAAGUCCUGUUAGCCAAGUGGGUUCAAAUAUUCAAAGAAAAAAAAAAGAUGACAUUUGCUGUGGCCUUGUGCUUUGUGACUAGUUUUCUG